rnacentral:lncRNA from 1 species
UUAGUUUCUUCCUCGUGUAAAACAAAAGGCUGUGUGUUUUCCAAGUCUAGUCUCCAUCUAUGGAGCACAGCAAAAGGAAAGCUGGGGCCAGGCAGAGCUGGGGGCUGAAUCCCAUCCUUCACACUCUUGGGUGAGCGGUGACCUCUCGGAUCUUCUGUUUCCCCAUCGUACUGGGACAAGACACUCGGGCUUGAACUCACGACUUCAUGCAUGCUAGCUCCAGGGCAGCUACCACAUUUCAGAAGGAUACAUUCUGGGGAUCAGAGCAGGGCUGGAGCUGCUGAAUAAGACACUGGGGAAGAUACAAGGAGAAGACGACACUGUGGCUGCAUCCCCACGUCUGUGGACUGGUCAGCUUCAUCACUAAAGCCAUUGACAUGCAUGCACAGAGAACCUUCUAAAAGGACAAAUGGCAAAUGAGCACAGAGGAAUGUCCUCUGGACACCCAUCCAUCCACCUGACACCAUCCAUCUGUCACAUGACAGUGGGCUUCUUAAACACUGG